rnacentral:rRNA from 1 species
GAUCAACGCUGGCGGCGUGCAUGAGACAUGCAAGUCGAACGGACGACAUCGGGCUUGCCUGGUGUCGUUAGUGGCGGACGGCUGAGUAACGCGUAGGUGACCUGCCCCGAAGUGGGGAAUAACUGCCCGAAAGGGUGGCUAAUACCGCAUGUGGUGAUGCGUUCAUUCGCAUCAGUAAAGCCGCAAGGCGCUUCGGGAGGGGCCUGCGUCCGAUUAGCUCGUUGGUGGGGUAACGGCUCACCAAGGCGACGAUCGGUAGGUGGUCUGAGAGGACGAUCACCCAGACUGGGACUGAGACACGGCCCAGACUCCUACGGGAGGCAGCAGUCGGGAAUUUUGGACAAUGGGGGCAACCCUGAUCCAGCCAUGCCGCGUGAGUGAAGAAGGCCUUCGGGUUGUAAAGCUCUUUCGGCCGGGAAAAAAUCGCAUGGAUUAAUACUCUGUGUGGAUGAUGGUACCGGAAUAAGAAGCACCGGCUAACUAC